GACGAACGCUGGCGGCGUGCUUAACACAUGCAAGUCGAACGGAAAGGCCCUUCGGGGUACUCGAGUGGCGAACGGGUGAGUAACACGUGGGUGAUCUGCCCUGCACUUUGGGAUAAGCCUGGGAAACUGGGUCUAAUACCGAAUACACCUCUCCGGCUGCAUGGUUGGUGGGGGAAAGCUUUUGCGGUGUGGGAUGGGCCCGCGGCCUAUCAGCUUGUUGGUGAGGUUACGGCUCACCAAGGCGACGACGGGUAGCCGGCCUGAGAGGGUGACCGGCCACACUGGGACUGAGAUACGGCCCAGACUCCUACGGGAGGCAGCAGUGGGGAAUAUUGCACAAUGGGCGCAAGCCUGAUGCAGCGACGCCGCGUGGGGGAUGACGGCCUUCGGGUUGUAAACUCCUUUCAGCACAGACGAAGCGCGAGUGACGGUAUGUGCAGAAGAAGGACCGGCCAACUACGUGCCAGCCGCCGCCGUAAAAC
rnacentral:rRNA from 1 species